AGGAAUGAUACCCUUUUAGACAGCAACUGACAGCACAGGUCAAAAGACCGUAAAAUAUAUUCUGGUUGCCCAUAACAUCUGGAACUGACAAUCCUUUCAAGAGAUCACAUUUUUCUUACCCGUGCUGGCUUCCCAAAGAAAGGACCAGCUGCCAUCCCUGGAACUGACUGAUUGGGAAGGGCUUAGGUAUGAUAGAGAGGAAGGCAAGAUUCUGGAGACAGCAUCAUGGAGCUACUCCUGCUGUUAUAAGAAAAAGGCCUGCUCAUUGAUUUGGAAGCUGUUACACACAAGGAAAUCUGUUCUGUUUACAUGCACAAGGAAGGAAAUAUGCAAAUACGUCGAAGAGCAUGCUUGAGUCAAACAGAUUGCAGACAAAUCUACAGAGGUACCACGUAACCCAAAGGCCCAGAACAAUUUCCCCAGCCCCCGCACAUUGUUCGGGAACAAGGAGCCCUGAACAGAAUUGAUUCUCUGAUGCCUAUGAACAACUGCAGCAGCUGGCUGUUAAUUUGGGAAAGAGAUGCAGGAGAGGCACACACUUCCUUCUCCCUGGGGCUCUCUCUCGUCUCUCCACCCCACUGCACCCCACAGGUUGCAGAUUAAUUCAAUUCCAGCCCUGGGCUCGCAGAAGUCAGAUAAUAGCAUGGCAGCUGCCACCAUCCUGAGAUCAGAGACAGUAAUGCAAAGCUGUGAAGUCAGAGAAGUGAUUGAGAUGUCUGGUCAGAAUAGGAAACAUGGAAAGCAGGAAGCACAGCUUCAAGGUGUGUGAGAGAGGUGGUGAUGGCAGGAGAAGAGAUAUAGCUGGAAUGGAGGGAAAUAAAUAUACCUCUUCAAUACAGAAGAAGCUCCUGAGUUUGUAAAAAUUCAUAUUUUUUGGGGAGUACAAAUCCCAGAUCCCCCAGACAGCACUCAUGCAGAUGUACUAGCUAAGGGAUUCUGAAAGUUACAGUAUAAAAACGGAACUCUUCCAGACUCUGGGGAAAAAAUCCAGAAUGAAACUGAAUGCGGUGGUUUGCAGCCUUAGCUGUAAGUUGACCUUCUAGCCCUUUGCUGGUGUUUGCCACCUGACUUGCUAUCUCCAUAAGGGCUACGAAAGAAAAGAAAACAUGAUUUGAACCAAACAUUUGGUAGGCAGCCAUUAAUGGCUGGGAUGCCUCUGUGCAACUGCAU